CGCCCCCGCCCUACGGCCGAGCCCCGCCCAGGAACGGACCCGAGCGGCCGGGCGCGGGCGGAGGUGGGGGACUUGGAGCGAAAGUGUCGCCUAGAGUAACUUCGAGCUUCGUUUUGUCGUUUGCAUGAGUCCUUACUCGCGAUUAGGUGCUCAGUAAACAUUUGAAGGAGAAAAAGAAGAAAACACGGAAGGAGUGAAGAGAGAAACCUCAAGGACAUAGAGACAAGAAGCAAACAGGUAAAUCAGAGUUUUGGAAGAGGCUUUUUGUGGUAGAUUGGAAAAAACAGCCUCAAUUUCUUCCCCUGGCUGUAUGCAUUCUCGCAAUUGACUUCUCCCAGAAGUACAUUCUUUCUCCAGUCAAUCCGGGCGGGACUUGCAACUUUGGCUAAUGAGACAAUGACAAACAUUGGGCAGGCAGAGACAUAGAAAAUGUGAAGACUGGGCUUCCUUUUGGAGGAGAGGCCCCAGUCAUUCCAUCCAUUCCAGAUGAGGCCACCAUAAAUCGGCCAAACCCACCAGCUCAGCAAAGAUUCAAGAAUGAGUCUAGCCCAGACCAACAUCAGACCACCCCACUGAGACGAGCCGUAACUGUCAACACAGAGGAGCGUGAGCUAAAUAAAAUAGCGCUUCCUUGGGUCUGGAGUCUCUCUGAUCUAUUCUGCCUUUACCCUGCUGAGGACAGAUCACCUUGAGCAAAGUGCAGCAGGACCGGUUCGAUAACUCGAGUCUUUAAAAGGAAGACGUUGACGACUGGCCUUGUUACCACCCACUCGGCUUCCUUCUCCCUGGAGUGUGUCCUCGCCUCUUUCCUUCCCAUCCCUUCCCAAGCGUGUCCCUCUUCUCAGCUGCGUCUGGGAACACUGGCCUUUCUCUCCUAUUACAGAACUGAACAGCUCAGGCUCGUCUGCUCUCAGGCCCGGAGUUCCCAUCCUUAACAUGUGGACCCGUCUUUGAACAGCACUGCUCUAUCCGACUGCCGGCUCGGACUGGCCACGUGUUGACGCAUUGCAGAAUGAAUCUGGAUCGUAUAGCCGACGGUUUUGACGAAGAAAAAUGGAAAGCUGAACAUCUUGUGGGUUUUUACCAUGAGUCACAUCCUUUCCUGGGCUCUGUGCGAAGAGAACCGUCUCGUUUUCCAGAGGCGAUGCUGCGGCAAGGGGUCUAGGCGAGACCUGUACCCUAGCUACCACUUGGCCGUAUCUUCUUAUAUUUGGAGAGGCAAAUAGGCCAGAACGUUAAAACAGCCCAAACUACUAUUUCAAAGGACUGUAUUGCCCUUUCGUGCUCACAUUUGGUUUUGGAAGGGGAUUGAUGAACUGUUCUAUUGAUUCAGUAAGGCAGUGACAUUAUUCACGAGUUCUCCGAUAGAACAUUAUAUUCUAAAAAAAAACCCCUCUCUAUUGGAAGUUUUUUUCAUUGUAUUUUAACACACUGGUUACUUUUCUAAUGUUUACUGUUUUGAGAGAGAGAGAAGGGGAGAGGGGAGAGAGAGAGGGAGACACAGAAUCCAAAGCAGGUUCCGGGCUCUGACCUGUCAGCACAGAGCCCAGCACAGGGUUUGAACCCACAAACCACGAGAUCAUGACCUGAGCCGAAGUCAUACGUUUAACCAACUGAGCCACCCAGGCACCCUCAUACAGGUUAUUUUUGAUGGCCAGUAUGGAUGCUGAAGCAGUGGGGUUGGGGAAAUAUACCAGAUGCAAAAGAAUAAAUAACAUCAGACAUUGCACCUUGAAAGAACCCAUAGAGUUCUGGCUCAAGGGUCCCAUUGUAUAGGCGAGGAAACCAAGCUCUUGGGGAUGGGACUUCAUGCCCGGAGCUACAGAUAUACAGUGUUUGUUAGUAAAUGAGCUGGGAUAAAAAGCCUAAUUCCUGGCUAUGUCAACCAAACCUUUGGAACCCCCAAAAGCCCCAAGGGUGACAAGGGGGAAACAGAAGUUUCCAGUUCUCUGUACAUUGCUGAGCUGGUAAAGCAUCCACCCCACUGCCAUUCCCUGAGGGAUCAACACCAUUUACUUUUACAUUCUUCACGGGAAAGUCCCAAGGUACUAGUGAAACAACAUCCAGAAGUUGGCCACCACUGGCCAACCACUGAGCUAUUGGCCAAUUCCUCCAGGCAUGAAGCCGCGACUGUGGCCUGAAUAAGUAAGGUUUACUAAAUAAAAUAUAUGAUUAACUAUUCUUCGAAUAUAGAUAGAUGCUACUGCGAUCAUUCACAUGGUUAGGUUGUGUGCUAUUAGAGUAGCUGUUUUUCAUGUGUUUACUUAUUUAUUUAUUUAUUUAUUUGGUCAGUGAUACUAAAAAGACAAGUACGCCCAUAUCGGGAUCAACAAAAUACGUAGACAUUAAAACGGAGUUGUCUUAUUUGAAAGAUUAGAAGGCACAGGUGUAGAGAACUGUGUGUUGAAAACUGCCCUGACCUUAGGGAAACGCAAAGUACUGCACCGCUGUUAUGCUCAGGCCCGAUGAGAAGCAUAGGGGACAGUGGAGAGGACCAAAGGCUUCCAAGAACUGUGUGUAAGUUGAGUUAAGCCUAGUGGUUAGAAGCACUGGUUUUGCAGUCAGUCAGGUGCUCUGGGGCUUUACAUUCUUCCUCUUUCCACUCACUACUAUCUAUGCUCUUGGGCAAGCUGUGUAACCUGACUCUGUUACCUUAUCGGUAAAAUGGGGCUUAUGAUACACGUUUCAUUGAGUUGUUGUAAGAAUUAAAUGAAAUAAUGGGGCUAAUGCAAUGCUGGGAUCAUAAUAAACAUUUUACAUAUGGUGACUAUCCUUCCACCUCAGCCACUACCGAAAGCACUACGACAACCACCAUCACCACCCCCACGCCCAUCACCAUCACCAUCACCGUUACCAUGACUACCACCCCCAUCACCACCACCAUCACCAUCAUCUCCACCCUAGAGGCUACAAAAUGUAACCUGGUUAAUUUCCCUGCAAGUACUCUCAGCGCUUCCUUAUAACAACCUCUUGACUUCUCUUCUAAGAUCAAUAUGUCCUGUGGGAACUGGCCGAGGCGUUUGGGUGUAUGUUGCCCCUGAAGUCCCUUGCUUUGCCCCUUUCCAUACUUGUUACUUUUCAGCUUCAACCUUUUUCUGCCCAUCUUCCCGCCAUGGGGUUUGGGGUUGGGCACCAGCUGCAAUCCUAGGUUGCUUGAGUUCAUGAGUUGAACCCAACAGGGGCAGGCAGUAUAUCCGAAGCCUCAGUCCAACCAUCCGUUGAAGUCAGUCUCUGCUCGCGAACACGGUGUGUGUAUGGUAGGUUGAACUUUGGCUUGCCGUCUUCACCGCCUCCAGGCUAUAGCAUCUGUAGGCCCCAGCAUCUGCUCUCUUCUCAAGGUGUGGCACUCCAGUGCCUGGUGAGGACUGAAUGUCUUCUGGAAACCAAGUCUGUUUGGCUAGGCCCUGAUGUCCUUGCACAGUCAGGACCAGACUCCCAUUCCAGAGGCCUGGACUUUUCCUCCCUUGAGGAAUAAGCUUACCACUUGGAAACUAGGUAAAUGCACAAAAUAACCCAAAUCAUGUGGCCCAUGCUGCUCUUUAGGCCUUUUCGUUGUAGGUGGCAAAAUCUAAAUUCAAAUACACUGGAACAAAAUGAGUUAUGGUAUAGUCUCUUGCAACUGAACAAAGACUAGGAAAUACUGACUUUGGGCUUGGCCGGAUCUAGGCGCUCACACGUCGUCGUUGGGAGUCUCUCCGUCUCUCCUACCUUGAUUUCUUUCUCAGGCAGCCUCACCCUAGUGCUGGUCCCAGUUGUGUCAAGUUUCUCCCCUGUCUUCUCAGUGACUUGAGGUGAGAUGAGAUGAGAGGGAGAGAGAGAGAGAAAGAGAGAGAGAUCCUCCAACAAUUCCCACAAAUGUUCUGUGGUUGACAUCUCUUAUACAUGUCCCUCCCAGCAUCAAUCGUGUGACCAGCCUGAGGCAGAUGACCAUCUCUAGAGCUGGGGGCAGGGGUCAGCCCCCGUCAAGCCACAUGUCUAGAGAUGGGGGGGGGGCGUUCCCCACAGGAAAAUCUAGGGGCUCAUAUCUGAAGAAGGGAAAACUGACGCUGAGGAGACAAAAGGAGUAGUUAUCUGUUGAACAGUCUGCUUUGACUGGCCCCAGUCAGCUAAACUUAACUGUAACCAGAACUCGCUGGGAAUCUUGGGAAGUGUAUGGCUUUGAAGCUAAAAGUCCUGUUUGAAUGUUUGCUCUCUCAAUUCCCAGCUGAGUGAUCAUGAGCAAGUUGUUGUACAUCCACAAGCCUUGUACUUUUUCCCUUAAAAUUAGAUGAUAAUGCCUUCCACUCAGCAUUUGUUUUUUUUGUUUGUUUGUUUUUAAUUCUUUUUAACGUUUAUUUAUUUUUGAGACAGAGAGAGACAGAGCAUGAACGGGGGAGGGUCAGAGAGAGAGGGAGACAUAGAAUCUGAAGCAGGCUCCAGGCUCUGAGUUGUCAGCACAGAGCCCGACACGGGGCUCGAACUCACGGACUGCGAGAUCAUGACCUGAGCCGAAGUCGGACACCCAACCGACUGAGCCACCCAGGCGCCCCUCAGCAUUUGUUUUGAGACUUUACCUGUGUGACACACAGUGCCCGGCCUGGGGUAAGUAUUCAGGUGACAGCAAUCCUUCCCUCCUUUUUAUGUUGAUACAGCCUGACCCCCACUUGGGUUUGCUGCACCAGGUAAAUACUUUUCAUCAGAACCUUGGGCUACCACAGAGAAUCUGCCUUCCACGUAUUUUGCCUUGGCUUCCUCUUUAUUAUGAUCCACGGGUAUCAGAGGAUCCAUCCGUCCGUCCGUCCAUCAUCGUAACUAGUCGUAGUAAUGAUAAACAGAGCAAUAAUUCUGCCUUUGUCUUUUGCCAGACCUGUUUCUGCCCAAGCCUCUUACGUUUUCUCUUCACCAGAGGAAAAGCGGUUGAUUUGGUUAGGCAGAGGCGAAGUCACAAUGGCCCAUGGUUGUAUUGGAAAGACCUCUCAGCUCCGCCUCUUGCCCAGGGUCUGUGCAUAGCAGCGGGUCCCUAAUGCUCCCUUCCACUCACGGGGGGCUCUGUGCGUCAGUCAACCCAGAGCUUAGUUGUACAGGCCAGGUUAUAUUUCCACCCACUUUAUCGUCUCAGAGUGUGUGGUUCUAAGGUUUACUUUCUGGGGUAAGAAAGGUGGGGUGGUCAUAAAGGGAGGAGAGGUAGAGGAUCUGUCCUACACGAGCCUAAGUCGUGUGUCUUUUUACCAGAGCCCUGAGCUGGGAUUCCAGGAGGCAGUCCAGUUCUCAGUGGAAUAGCACUGUACUUAAUUUCCCAUUUGCCACGUGUGUCUCUGUGUCCCUGGGAACUCUUUGGAGAGGUAGGAACGAUAGGAAGGGUGGUAUAUGAUCACCUUUGCUAUCGUGACCUUGAUACCCUCAGCCCUCGCCUAGAACACGUAGCAGUAGCUAUUUAUUGAGCACUUUCUGCGUGCGAGGUAUGCAUGCCAUUUGCCCAUCUACCCGUGUGUCCACCCAUCUGUGUAUCCAACUGCUCAACAUUUAUUGGAUGUCUCUUCUGUCCCCGGUGUAGGUAGACACUGCCCCAAAGAAGCCCACACGGUCCAGUAGGAUAAGGCUUUCUCGUCCUUCACCCCAACGAAUCCUCAUUUGCCUCCCUCCUAAAUAAGUACGAUUGAUGCACCAGACCUUCCCUCUAACGCGGAGCCCUUGGGGGUGCAAAGAGAUAAAGAAUGCGGUGAGCCUCCACCACCGCAGGAUUUCGACAAACGUGGAAGGCUGUUCUUUGCUCAAUUUUUGGACCCGAGAGGAGAGAGCUGGGCCAGCGCGUGGUCUCUUAUUGCUUCUGUAACAAAUUGCUACAAAUGUGGUGGCUUAAAGUAAUAUAACAGUAUUAUGUGCAGUUUUGGGGGUCAACACAGGAAAUGAAGCUCAUGGAACUGACCUCAAAGCCAUGUGGGCAGAGUUGUGUCCUGGGGAGGAUUCAGGGGAUGGUCCAUUUCCUUUUCUAGCUGCUUCGGCCCACGUUCCUUGGCUCAUGGCCCCCUCUGCCAGCUUUGAAGUCAGCAACCACUGCCCUCUGCUUCUGUUGUCACAUCUCCUCUGACUCUUCUCCCUCCUUUUCCCCUAUUUUAAGGGCUCUUGUGAUUACUGUUGGGCCCACCCAGAUAAUCCAGGAUAAUCUUCCCAUUUUGAGAUUUCUUUUUUUUUUGUUUUGUUUUGUGAGAGAGAGAGAGCAUAAUCGGGGAGGGGCAGAGAGAGAGGGAGAGAGAGAGAGAGAGAGUCCCAAGCAGACUCUGAACUGUCAGCGUGGAGCCGGGCGCGGGGCUCGAUUUCACCUUGAGCCUUGAGAUCACGAGCUGAGUCGAAAUCAAGACUCAGACACUCAACCGACUGAACCACCCAGGUGCUGGACGUCUUUGGGAGCUAUUACUCUGCCAACACAGCCACUAUCACUGUCUCUGCUUCUUUGGGGGAAGUUGCUCAGUCUCAGGUUUCCCACCUGAAAAAUGAGCCUCAUAACGGCAUCACCAACACAGAAUUGUUGUAAAGAUUGAAUGGGAAAGUACUUGUGAAGAAUACAGUGCAGCGGGUGGUGCAUAGUCAGUGCUCCUUCAAUUAUAGAUGUGGUUAUUAUUCAUUGUGAAGUCAUUGUCUUUCAGCUUUCAUGGGGGGUGGCCAGAAGGACGAGGGGCAGACAGAGAGAUGAAUAGUUCUCCAGUCUUCUCCUAUCUCUCCUUCUAGUAUAAUUCCAGACGUUGUCUUUGGGAUGGACUGGUCUACAGUGGCCCUUUUCUCAACGUAAGGACUUAGACAGAUUUUCCAAGAAAGAAAAAUAAUUGCUUGCCACUAUCAGAAAUAGAAAUUGAGGUUCACGAAAGCAUGCACGUGUCAGUGUGUAUGUUGGGGAAGCAGAGGGUUGGGACGGUGUGGGAAGCACUAUAAAAUGUCUUUGCCUGGAGGCAUAACGGUUAUGACAUCCAGAGCUUGAGUGCUGGGUUUUUUUCCCCUUUUUUGUCCACAUAGGAAAUAUCUAAAUCUGCCAGAGCAAUUUGGUUUUUCAUUUACAGGAACCACAGGUAUCACUUCCAAAUAUUGUUCAGAAUAAAACUUAAUUGAAAACGUAAUCAAACUGGAAAAUUGCUUGACAAGCUGGGGUCACAUUCGUAAAGGGAUGUUUGUUUAUCCCUCAGCCGUGAUGGGGUCUGUGCUGGCACACAAGGGGACGGCUGGCACGUUGCUCGCAUCGCUCACAGUCCCUGCUGGGAAGGAGCCCCCUCAAUCUGGCUGCACUGCGUUUGCUUAAAGGUCACCUGUCAGAGAAGCAUAGAGCAAUCCCUUACUGAGAAGGCACCAGAAUAGAUCCCUUUUGAUUUUACUGCAGGAUCCCACUUUCUGUGAGUUCAAAUUGCUUGUCAGACAGCGGAGGCUUCACCGCUUCAGAAAAGGGCUCUUCCUGUAUCCGUUAUGUAAGAAUUACUUGAGUGCAGUCACUAGUCUGGGACUCUGAUAGCCUAGACUCUUCCCCCGUGUCUCCUCCUUGAAGCUAGGCUGUGCCAAGUAGAAAUCCAGAACUCUGGGAUGCUAACCCUGAGAAGGCUGUGCUAGUUGGUGUUAUUUGUGGACAGGUAACUGUGUCAUUCUUGGAGAUACUUGAUAGAGACAGAAAGUAGCAUAGGUCCAGAACCUUAAAGACUGUUAUGGGGUGAAAUACAUCCCUCUAAAAUUCACGUGUUGAAGUCCAAACUCCUGGUAUCUCAGGAUGUGACUGUAUUUGAGAUAAGGUCUCUAAAGAGGUGAUUAAAUUAAAAUGAGGUUCUUGGGGCGGGGGCGGGGUGCUCCUGAAUGGCUCAGUCAGUUAAGUGUCCGAUUCUUCGAUUCUUUGGCUCAGGUCAUGAUCUCACGGUUCGUGGGUUCGAACCCCGCAUCGGGCUCUGUGCUGACAGCUCAGAGCCUGGAGCCUGCUUCGGAUUCUGUGUCUCCCUCUUCUGCCCCUACCCUGCUUGCACUUUGUCUCUCCCUCUCUCUCUCUCUCAAAAAUAAACAUUAAAACUUUUUU